rnacentral:rRNA from 1 species
UACAGAGGUCUCAAGCGUUGUUCGGAUUCAUUGGGCGUAAAGGGUGCGUAGGUGGCGCGUUAAGUCAGGUGUGAAAUUUCGGAGCUUAACUCCGAAACUGCAUUUGAUACUGGCGUGCUUGAGGACUGGAGAGGAGACUGGAAUUCAUGGUGUAGCAGUGAAAUGCGUAGAGAUCAUGAGGAAGACCAGUGGCGAAGGCGGGUCUCUGGACAGUUCCUGACACUGAGGCACGAAGGCCCAGGGGAGCAAACGGG